GUUAUUUUUUUAUUUCGAUAUUUCCUCUUUUUCUCCUAUUAGUUCAACAGAAAAAAAGGACAUUAACAAAAAUGUAUGCUUCUUCUAGAGGCAGAUUUUAGCUUAAAUGAACGUGACCCCAUUUUUUUAUUUAUUUUUCUUUUAAGUAUAUGAUAAAGUUCAUUUAUGAAAAAAUAUAGCGAAAUCCUAUAUUAGAAAAAAAAAUUCAUUUAUACCCAGGAGCCCC
rnacentral:lncRNA from 1 species